GAUCUGGCUCAGGAUGAACGCUGGCGGCGUGCCUAACACAUGCAAGUCGAGCGAGAAAUCUUGGAAUGAGACUUCGGUUAAGUGAAGAGAUGGAAAGCGGCGGACGGGUGAGUAACGCGUAGGCAACCUGCCUUAUGCAGAGGGAUAGCCAUUGGAAACGAUGAUUAAAACCUCAUAAUGCCAUUUUAUCACAUGGUGAGAUGGUCAAAGAUUUAUCGGCAUAAGAUGGG
rnacentral:rRNA from 1 species